GAGCCCCAUGAUUAUUGAUUAGUGAGUGAAUGAAAGAUUGAAAGGGGGUGGGGCUACGGUAUUGCCCUGUACAUGGCAGCCGGACGUCUUCCUAUUGGCAGAGCCCUCAUUGGAAUGACUGUGGCUCCAGACAGAGUGCCCAUUGCUGAGAAUUUAAAUUCUGAUUAUUGAAUCCCUAACAUAAUGAGCCAUCUCCCAGCCCCAGGUGUUUUGACUGAAGAGUCUGCAAGUUGCAUGUUUAAUAUGUAAGGAAUGGGAACCAUGAGGAAUGGGAAAAAGAGUGUUUGCCUCCUCUCCCCAUCCUCUCUGUUAGCCAGGAGGCUGUGGCAAUGGCAGGGUGCCCUCAUCUUCUCAGGGAACUGGACUUCGUGGAUGUUUUCAGGACCUUGGAGAGGGCCAGAGAAGCUACUUUGUUCUGCAGGAUGUUUCUGACUCUUGAAGGUUCUGGAUGAAUUGCAGGCACAGCUGCUUCCUCCAGGACUCUGGAGGUGUGUUCUCGUCGGUUGGACAAGGACGUUUGGCUAUGAAUAAAUGUCAGCGUGACUCAGUG